rnacentral:rRNA from 1 species
AAUCAACGCUGGCGGCGUGCCUCAGACAUGCAAGUCGAACGCGAAAUUUCCCUUCGGGGAGAAAGUAGAGUGGCGCACGGGUGAGUAACACGUAGGUAAUUUGCCUUUGGGUGGGGAAUAACUCAGGGAAACUUGAGCUAAUACCGCAUAAUGCAGCGGCUCGACAUCGAGACAGUUGUUAAAGCGGGGGAUUGGAGCAAUCCGACCUCGCGCCUAAAGAGAAGCCUGCGGCAGAUUAGCUAGUUGGUAAGGUAAUGGCUUACCAAGGCGACGAUCUGUAACCGGCCUGAGAGGGCGGUCGGUCACACUGACACUGACAUACGGGUCAGACUCCUACGGGAGGCAGCAGUCGGGAAUUUUGGGCAGUGGGCGCAAGCCUGACCCAGCAACGCCGCGUGAAGGGAUGUAAAUUUUUCGGAAUGUAAACUUCGCAAGAACAGGAAGAAUAAGUGUGGGACAAUACCCACAUGAUGACGGUACUGUUUGUAAGC